rnacentral:rRNA from 1 species
UAUUGGGCGUAAAGCGCGUCUAGGUGGUUAUGUAAGUCUGAUGUGAAAAUGCAGGGCUCAACUCUGUAUUGCGUUGGAAACUGCAUGACUAGAGUACUGGAGAGGUAAGCGGAACUACAAGUGUAGAGGUGAAAUUCGUAGAUAUUUGUAGGAAUGCCGAUGGGGAAGCCAGCUUACUGGACAGAUACUGACGCUAAAGCGCGAAAGCGUGGGUAGCAAACAGGAUUAGAUACCCUGGUAGUCCACGCCGUAAACGAUGAUUACUAGGUGUUGGGGGUCGAACCUCAGCGCCCAAGCUAACGCGAUAAGUAAUCCGCCUGGGGAGUACGUACGCAAGUAUGAAACUCAAAGGAAUUGACGGGGACCCGCACAAGCGGUGGAGCAUGUGGUUUAAUUCGACGCAACGCGAGGAACCUUACCAGCGUUUGACAUCUUAGGAAUGAGACAGAGAUGUUUCAGUGUCCCUUCGGGGAAACCUAAAGACAGGUGGUGCAUGGCUGUCGUCAGCUCGUGUCGUGAGAAG